ACAUGAAUUACAAUCAAAUCCAUCAUCAACAUGCCUUAUAGAAAAUUCGGCCAAAUGAGGGUUAUUGAAGAACAUGUGAUUUUCUUGCUUGUUUUUCCUUCCAAACAUCACAAAAUGACUAAAAACACUAGGAUAUUAUGAAAUCUAGUAAAAUUCAUCACCAAAACUUCUCUCUCUAGAUUUGGCCAGUAAAGGUUCCCU
rnacentral:lncRNA from 1 species